CGCCCUUGGAAUUUCAUCAGAGGUAUAGCCUGCCCGGUGGGACUGUAGCUAAACGGCGGCAUUAGCCUGAUUGUCCAAAGGUAGCAUAUAAUAUGCCUCUUAAUUAGUGGCUGGUAUGAAAGGUUAGACGUGGGAGCAGCUGUCUUCUACACAUAGCUAGAAUUUAUUUUGUAGGUGAACAGACUUACAUUUGACUUCAAGACGGGUAGACCCCGAUGAGCUUGAUAGCGGUAUGUUGUUUUUGACAAGGUAAUAAUUAACUUGGCAUUUUAUAAUAUACUUCUUCGGUUGGGAAAACCGAGGAGAUGUAUGAAACUCUUAGAUUGUUUAUGUGUGGUAUAUAUCAAGAUCUUUUAUGAAAGAAAUUUUUUAUAAAGAAAAGCUACCGCGGGGAUAACAGCAUUGUCCUUUCGGAGAGAAUACAUUGAUGAAAGGGUUUGUGACCUCGAUUUUGGAUCAUAAGAUUUCUUGGCGGUAAAGAGGCUGCUUAUGAGGGACUGUUCGUCCUUUAAAUUUUUACGUGAUCUGAGUUCAGACCGGA
rnacentral:rRNA from 1 species